AAUGGGCGCAAGCCUGAUCCAGCCAUGCCGCGUGAGUGAUGAAGGCCCUAGGGUCGUAAAGCUCUUUCGCCUGUGAAGAUAAUGACGGUAGCAGGUAAAGAAACCCCGGCUAACUCCGUGCCAGCAGCCGCGGUAAUACGGAGGGGGUUAGCGUUGUUCGGAAUUACUGGGCGUAAAGCGCGCGUAGGCGGAUUAGUAAGUCAGAGGUGAAAUCCCAGGGCUCAACCCUGGAACUGCCUUUGAUACUGCUAGUCUUGAGUUCGAGAGAGGUAAGUGGAAUUCCGAGUGUAGAGGUGAAAUUCGUAGAUAUUCGGAGGAACACCAGUGGCGAAGGCGGCUUACUGGCUCGAUACUGACGCUGAGGUGCGAAAGUGUGGGGAGCAAACAGGAUU
rnacentral:rRNA from 1 species